rnacentral:rRNA from 1 species
UCUGUGACUCCUACGGGAGGCAGCAGUGGGGAAUAUUGCACAAUGGGCGCAAGCCUGAUGCAGCCAUGCCGCGUGUGUGAAGAAGGCCUUCGGGUUGUAAAGCACUUUCAGUAGGGAGGAAGGUAGUGUAGUUAACACCUGCAUUAUUUGACGUUACCUACAGAAGAAGCACCGGCUAACUCCGUGCCAGCAGCCGCGGUAAUACGGAGGGUGCGAGCGUUAAUCGGAAUUACUGGGCGUAAAGCGCAUGCAGGCGGCCUGUUAAGUCAGAUGUGAAAGCCCGGGGCUUAACCUCGGAAUUGCAUUUGAAACUGGCAGGCUAGAGUCUUGUAGAGGGGGUAGAAUUUCAGGUGUAGCGGUGAAAUGCGUAGAGAUCUGAAGGAAUACCAGUGGCGAAGGCGGCCCCCUGGACAAAGACUGACGCUCAGAUGCGAAAGCGUGGGGAGCAAACAGGAUUAGAUACCCUGGUAG